CACCAAUGAGGAAAGGACAACACAGCAGAGUCAGCUUCCUGACCCAAUGGGACCUUGGGAGGGGGGUAUAAAGGAAGGUGUAAUUUCCUUAAUAAACAACUAUGCAGCACGCUCUGUUACUCACUGACUCCCUGUGUCUGAGUACUGAGGCAUUGGUGCUGCAUCUUCUCACCCACUCCCCCAAGGGGUGUCUGAGCAGGAUCACCGGCAACACUGACACAACAUAAUAAGUCAAGGACCCUCCAAAGAGAACAUAGAAAAUCUGAAACAUGUUCAUGAUUCCUGUCUUCCCAGAAAAGAACAGAAUGUGGCAUCACACUGCUGAGGAGAAUAGUAAGACUGGACUAAAUAGUAAGACUGGACUGAAGCUCAUACAAGGACAUCCUGUGCUUUUAGCAUUGUAUUUGUUAUCUAAGGAAACUUGGAGAUUCGACGCCAGAGCCUGAACAAAAGUAGACAAAGAAGACAACAAAGAUAUCCCCUCACAGCCCCAAGCACACUGAGGUGAUGGGAAGUUUGACGAAAACAUGUGGACAACGAAAGAAAAGUGUGCAGAUGGCUGCUUCUUGUUUGGGAAGACACUGUUAGGAGUUUCUCAAGAGGACCAGUAAGGCAAAGGUGAGAACCCAGGGCCUCUAUUAGUGACCCAAGCCAGCAUCUAUUUCGG
rnacentral:lncRNA from 1 species